rnacentral:rRNA from 1 species
UGUUUCGGCUAGGGGGCCAUCCCGGCUUACCAACCCGAUGCAAACUGCGAAUACCGGAGAAUGUUAUCACGGGAGACACACGGCGGGUGCUAACGUCCGUCGUGAAGAGGGAAACAACCCAGACCGCCAGCUAAGGUCCCAAAGUCAUGGUUAAGUGGGAAACGAUGUGGGAAGGCCCAGACAGCCAGGAUGUUGGCUUAGAAGCAGCCAUCAUUUAAAGAAAGCGUAAUAGCUCACUGGUCGAGUCGGCCUGCGCGGAAGAUGUAACGGGGCUAAACCAUGCACCGAAGCUGCGGCAGCGAACGUAUCACUUAAAGCGAUUCAGCGGGUUACGAUUGACGGAGCGAAGCGACGUCAAAGCGUAUACAAAGUCGAGUCGGUUUAAGGAUACGUUCGUUGGGUAGGGGAGCGUUCUGUAAGCCUGUGAAGGUGGCCUGUGAGGGUUGCUGGAGGUAUCAGAAGUGCGAAUGCUGACAUAAGUAACGAUAAAGCGGGUGAAAAGCCCGCUCGCCGGAAGACCAAGGGUUCCUGUCCAACGUUAAUCGGGGCAGGGUGAGUCGACCCCUAAGGCGAGGCCGAAAGGCGUAGUCGAUGGGAAACGGGUUAAUAUUCCCGUACUUGGUGUUACUGCGAAGGGGGGACGGAGAAGGCUAUGUUGGCCGGGCGACGGUUGUCCCGGUUUAAGCGUGUAGGCUGGUUUUCCAGGCAAAUCCGGAAAAUCAAGGCUGAGGCGUGAUGACGAGGCACUACGGUGCUGAAGCAACAAAUGCCCUGCUUCCAGGAAAAGCCUCUAAGCAUCAGGUAACAUCAAAUCGUACCCCAAACCGACACAGGUGGUCAGGUAGAGAAUACCAAGGCGCUUGAGAGAACUCGGGUGAAGGAACUAGGCAAAAUGGUGCCGUAACUUCGGGAGAAGGCACGCUGACACGUAGGUGAAGUGAUUUACUCAUGGAGCUGAAGUCAGUCGAAGAUACCAGCUGGCUGCAACUGUUUAUUAAAAACACAGCACUGUGCAAACACGAAAGUGGACGUAUACGGUGUGACGCCUGCCCGGUGCCGGAAGGUUAAUUGAUGGGGUCAGCGCAAGCGAAGCUCCUGAUCGAAGCCCCGGUAAACGGCGGCCGUAACUAUAACGGUCCUAAGGUAGCGAAAUUCCUUGUCGGGUAAGUUCCGACCUGCACGAAUGGCGUAAUGAUGGCCAGGCUGUCUCCACCCGAGACUCAGUGAAAUUGAACUCGCUGUGAAGAUGCAGUGUACCCGCGGCAAGACGGAAAGACCCCGUGAACCUUUACUAUAGCUUGACACUGAACAUUGAGCCUUGAUGUGUAGGAUAGGUGGGAGGCUUUGAAGUGUGGACGCCAGUCUGCAUGGAGCCGACCUUGAAAUACCACCCUUUAAUGUUU